ensembl:lncRNA
UCCCAUCUGUCGACCCGUCCCGUGGCUCCUCUCUGACUCCCUACGUCCUCGUUUCCUCUCCUCGCUCGAAGCACUUGAUCCCUCCUUCUCUCCUCUUCGCCUCGCUGCCCCGCGUCCACAGAGCUCAUCGCCGUCAGCCAGAGACACUCAAACCGGAGGCAGAGCGGCCGCUGGUCUCCGGGUCACGCGUCCGUCGGCUGGACAGGACGCGUGAUGGUCUCGUUGCAGUUCCUUGUUUCCUCGUCUCCGCCCACCUUUCUGAAAGACAAUCAGCGGGCGCUCGCCCGUCCGGCGGCGGCAGCGGCGGUGUGAACCGCCGCGUUGACCCCGCGGCCGGGGGACAGCGAUCGCCAGCGCUGAAAGGGAUUCUGGGAAAGGUAGAAGCAGAGAAGACCGGCUGUGGGAAAAUUGACGCACCAUUAAGUUUAUUCCAACACUUCAUCACAGAAUAACUGUGGAUCAAUGGAUUGGGAACAAGACAAUCAGGGGGAUUCUCUUCAAAUAAAACCAGUUCACUGACUUAUUAUUGCUGCCUUACUUUAUACUUUCUUAGUAUGACUCCAAUUUAUCACCUGGAGGUUUAUCUUUUUAAAGUGAACCUGUGAGUAAUUAGUGAAGUUUAAAUUCUAUAAAAG